rnacentral:rRNA from 1 species
GACAGAGGUGCCAAGCGUUAGGCGGAAUCACUGGGCUUAAAGCGUGUGUAGGCGGACUGGUAAGUACCUUGUGAAAUCCCACGGCUCAACCGUGGAACUGCUGGGUAUACUGCUUGUCUUGAGCCACUUAGGGGCUGUCGGAACAAACGGUGGAGCGGUGAAAUGCGUAGAUAUCGGGAGGAACACCUGUGGCGAAAGCGGCUCACUGGACCACAACUGACGCUGAGGCGCGAAAGCUAGGGGAGCAAACAGG